rnacentral:rRNA from 1 species
AGAGUUUGAUCCUGGCUCAGGANGAANGCUGGCGGCGUGCCUAACACAUGCAAGUCGAGCGCGAAGGAAGAAGCUUGCUUCUGAAUUUGAGCGGCGGACGGGUGAGUAACGCGUGGGCAACCUACCCUAUACAGGGGAACAACAUUGGGAAACCAGUGCUAAUACCGCAUAAAGCUAAACUAAGGCAUCUUAAGUUUAGCCAAAGAUUCAUCGGUAUAGGAUGGGCCCGCGUCUAAUUAGCUAGUUGGUAAGGUAACGGCUUACCAAGGCGACGAUUAGUAGCCGACCUGAGAGGGUGAUCGGCCACACUGGAACUGAGACACGGUCCAGACUCCUACGGGAGGCAGCAGUGGGGAAUAUUGCACAAUGGGCGCAAGCCUGAUGCAGCAACGCCGCGUGAGUGAUGAAGGCCUUCGGGUCGUAAAACUCUGUUAUAAGGGAAGAAACAGUGACGGUACCUUAAGAGAAAGCCCCGGCUAACUACGUGCCAGCCGCCGCGGUAAUUC